rnacentral:rRNA from 1 species
GAUGAACGCUAGCGGCAGGCCUAACACAUGCAAGUCGAGGGGUAUAAAAGAGCUUGCUUUUUUAGAGACCGGCAAACGGGUGCGGAACACGUACGCAAUCUGCCCUUAUCACGGGGAUAGCCCAGAGAAAUUUGGAUUAAUACCCGAUAGUAUUAUAAUAAGGCAUCUUGUUGUAAUUAAAGCUAUGGCGGAUAAGGAUGAGCGUGCGCAAGAUUAGCUAGUUGGUGAGGUAACGGCUCACCAAGGCGACGAUCUUUAGCUGAUGUGAGAGCAUGAUCAGCCACACGGGCACUGAGACACGGGCCCGAUCCUACGGGAGGCAGCAGUGAGGAAUAUUGGUCAAUGGACGGAAGUCUGAACCAGCCAUGCCGCGUG